rnacentral:tRNA from 1 species
GGGGGUUUAGCUCAGUGGUAGAGCAUUUGCCUAGCAAGCGCAAGGCCCUGGGUUCGGUCCCCAGCUCCA